CAUUACUGAGAUUAGGGUCUUUUGGGGCCCGAUCCUCCUACCCUUUGUGUAUCUACCUCUGUUGUUUCGGCGGACCUCCGGGGUCACGGUGCUGGGCUGGCCAGUUACCGGUCCCGGCCCGCCAGAGGCCCUCUCUAUUCUGAAUUUAUCCACGCCGUCUGACUACACAAGUAAAUAAAUCAAAACUUUCAACAACGGAUCUCUUGGUUCUGGCAUCGAUGAAGAACGCAGCGAAAUGCGAUAAGUAAUGUGAAUUGCAGAAUUCAGUGAAUCAUCGAAUCUUUGAACGCACAUUGCGCCCUCUGGCAUUCCGGGGGGCAUGCCUGUUCGAGCGUCAUUACACCUCUCAAGCUCAGCUUGGUAUUGGGCUUCCGUCCUCCACGGACGGGCUUGAAAUUCAGUGGCGGUGCAUGGCCGGUGCUCAAGCGUAGUUAUCUUAUCCCGCUUUGGAGUCUCCGGGCGGAUCCGCCAGACAA
rnacentral:rRNA from 1 species